rnacentral:rRNA from 1 species
GUCUACGGCCAUGCUACCCUGAACAUGCCCAAUCCCGUCUGAUCUCGAUCUCAGAAACUAAGCAGGGUCGGGCCUGGUUAGUACUUAGAUGGGAGACCACCUAGGAAGACCAGGUGCUUUAAGCA